AAACUUUUUGGUCACAAGUUUUACAAAGUUGUUUUCCCAGGGCAAGGCUCAUCCCCUGCACUCCGGUCCGGGUGUGCUGACCCCUCCGAUUUCCCCAAAUGCGGGAAACUCAACUGCACAAUUUGUGGUAGUGGGGGACUGCGUUCGUGCCCUCCCCCA
rnacentral:snRNA from 1 species